rnacentral:rRNA from 1 species
GACGUAGGGGGGCGAGCGUUGUCCGGAUUCAUUGGGCGUAAAGCGCGCGUAGGCGGUUCGGAAAGUCGGAUGUGAAAACCCGGAGCUCAACUCCGGGCCUGCAUCCGAUACUCCCGGACUAGAGGUAGGUAGGGGAGAUCGAAUUCCUGGUGUAGCGGUGAAAUGCGCAGAUAUCAGGAGGACACCGGUGGCGAAGGCGGAUCUCUGGGCCUUACCUGACGCUCAGGCGCGAAAGCUAGGGGAGCGAACGG